AUUGAACGCUGGCGGCAGGCCUAACACAUGCAAGUCGAACGAGUGGCGGACGGGUGAGUAAUGUCUGGGAAACUGCCUGAUGGAGGGGGAUAACUACUGGAAACGGUAGCUAAUACCGCAUACCAUCAGAUGGGCCCAGAUGGGAUUAGCUAGUAGGUGAGGUAACGGCUCACCUAGGCGACGAUCCCUAGCUGGUCUGAGAGGAUGACCAGCCACACUGGGACUGAGACCCGGUCCCGACCCCUACGUGAGGCAGCAGUGGGGAAUAUUGCACAAUUGGCGCAAGCCUGGUACAGCCAUGCCGCGUGUAUGAAGAAGGCCUUCGGGUUUUAAAGUUCUUUCCGCGGGGAGGCGUUACCCGCAGAAAAAGCACCGGCUAACUCCGUUCCAGCAGCCGCGGUAAUUC
rnacentral:rRNA from 1 species